rnacentral:rRNA from 1 species
GUGUCAGCCGCCGCGGUAACACGUAGGUGUCGAGCGUUAUCCGGAAUUACUGGGCGUAAAGGGCACGCAGGCGGCCUGGCAAGUCCUGUGUGAAAGCUCCCGGCUCAACUGGGAGAGGACGCAGGAGACUGUUGGGCUUGAGGCGGGGAGAGGGGCGUGGAAUUCCCGGUGUAGCGGUGGAAUGCGUAGAUAUCGGGAGGAACACCAGAAGCGAAGGCGGCGCCCUGGCCCUGGCCUGACGCUGAGGUGCGAAAGCGUGGGGAGCGAACGGGAUUAGAUACCCCGGUAGUCCACGCUGUAAACGAUGCGAACUAGGUGUGGGCAGCAUUGACCCUGUCCGUGCCGAAGCCAACGCGAUAAGUUCGCCGCCUGGGGAGUACGGCCGCAAGGCUAAAACUCAAAUGAAUUGACGGGG